GUCUAUGGCUAUACCACCCUGAACAUGCUUGAUCUCGCCUGAUCUCAGAAGCUAAGUAGGGUUGGGCCUGCUUAGUACUUGGAUGGGAGACAUAAAGA
rnacentral:rRNA from 1 species